GAUGAACGCUAGCGGCGGGCCUAAUACAUGCAAGUCGGACGGGAUUUGGGAGCUUGCUCCCAAUGAGAGUGGCGCACGGGUGCGUAACACGUAUGUAACCUACCUUAGUCAGGGGGAUAGCCUCUCGAAAGAGAGAUUAAGACCGCAUAAAAUACACAGUAUAGCAUUAUACAAUGAUCAAAUAUUUAUAGGACUAAGAU
rnacentral:rRNA from 1 species